rnacentral:rRNA from 1 species
UACGCACUGUGCAAACGUUAUUCGGAAUCACUGGGCUUACAGGGUGCGUAGGCGGCCAGACAAGUAGGGUGUGAAAGCCCCCGGCUUAACCGGGGAAUGGCGCCCUAAACUGUAUGGCUGGAGUGAGAUAGGGGUGUGCGGAACUUCCGGUGGAGCGGUGAAAUGUGUUGAUAUCGGAAGGAACGCCGGUGGCGAAAGCGGCACACUGGAUCUCAACUGACGCUGAGGCACGAAAGCCAGGGGAGCGAACGGG